rnacentral:tRNA from 3 species
GGAGAGGUGGCCGAGUGGUUGAAGGCACCUGACUACUAAUCAGGCAUACGAGCAAUCGUAUCGUGGGUUCGAAACCCACCCUCUCCGCCA